rnacentral:rRNA from 1 species
ANGGGGNGGAACGANCGUUGUUCNGGAUUUACUUGGGCGUAAAGGGCGCGUAGGCGGAUUUUCUAGUCACAUGUGAAAACCGGCGGCUUAACUGCCGGCCUGCAUGUGAUACUGUUAAUCUUGAGUACGGGAGAGGAAAGCGGAAUUCCAGGUGUAGCGGUGACAUGCGUAGAUAUCUGGAAGAACACCGGUGGCGAAGGCGGCUUUCUGGACCGAUACUGACGCUAAGGCGCGAAAGCCAGGGNGAGCAAACAGGAUUAGAUACCCUGGUAGUCCUGGCCGUAAACGAUGGGUACUAGGUGUUGGGGGUAUUGACCCCCCCAGUGCCGCAGCUAACGCAUUAAGUACCCCGCCUGGGGAGUACGAUCGCAAGGUUGAAACUCAAAAGAAUUGACGGGGGCCCGCACAAGCGGUGGAGUAUGUGGUUCAAUUCGAGGCAACGCGAAGAACCUUACCUGGGUUUGACAUUUUCCGGACAACAUCUGAAAGGAUGUCUUCCCUUCGGGGACCGGUAAACAGGUGCUGCAUGGCUGUCGUCAGCUCGUGCCGUGAGGUGUUGGGUUAAGUCCCGCAACGAGCGCAACCCCUAUCCUUAGUUGCCAUCAGGUUAUGCUGGGAACUCUAGGGAGACUGCCAGUGAUAAACUGGAGGAAGGUGGGGACGAUGUCAAGUCAUCAUGGCCCUUACAUCCAGGGCUACACACGUACUACAA